rnacentral:rRNA from 1 species
UACGAAGGGGGCUAGCGUUGUUCGGAAUUACUGGGCGUAAAGCGCACGUAGGCGGAUACUUAAGUCAGGGGUGAAAUCCCGGGGCUCAACCCCGGAACUGCCUUUGAUACUGGGUAUCUCGAGUCCGGAAGAGGUGAGUGGAAUUCCGAGUGUAGAGGUGAAAUUCGUAGAUAUUCGGAGGAACACCAGUGGCGAAGGCGGCUCACUGGUCCGGUACUGACGCUGAGGCGCGAAAGCGUGGGGAGUAAACAGG